UCCGAUAAAUCAAAUUCAAGUAUAGUACAUUUUCCUAAAGGAAAUUUUGUUUAAUUGGUGCAUUAGAAAGGUCAGUUUUGAUUUACCAAGGGUAGAGUUUGGAUAUAUCCUGAUUUGGCGGGACAUUCAUGAUUUUUAAUAUACUUGUUCCAUGCCCCGCGUAAAUUACUGGCGGAUGCGUAUGACACGAUUUGUAUACGUUUUUUUUUA